rnacentral:lncRNA from 1 species
GUCAAUGGAUCCAUAAUUCCAACAAAUAUCUAUACGAGUCAUUUGAUUUGGUUGAAGUACAUUGCAAUCUAUUUUUGAAAAUAAUAAGGUGGUAGUAUUUUGCUUAGGAAGUCAAUUGUUGGGAUUUUGUAGAUUCCAUCAACAAGGUCAUGGAUGUCGAUGAUUGCAUGUGUUGUAUAAUAAUAAUUGUGGCCUAAUAUGAUAGAUUAGAGUACUAGAAUUUAUAUUAUUGUUUGGUCCUUAUAAAUUUUGUAUGGUUGCAUUGAUAUUUUUUUAUAAUGUUGAGACUUACAUAUGAAUUAAUCCUUGCUGAAGAGAAGUGUGUAAACCUUCUUGAAACCAAUUACAUAAAAUGGAAUCAUCACCAGGAUUUUCCAGUUUAUCC